CCUUUGUGGAGACCAAGUAAAUAGCUUAAAAUCUGAAAACAAAUAAAACCUAUGCACUGAGACCUCAGUUUCCACUUCCAACAUGCUGCCAGCAUCUCCUGCAGCUUGCCCUGCUCCAUGAGGCUCUCUGGACAUGAACAAGCAUGGAUCUCUGUAAAUAGCUGCUUAAGAGUGGUAUGAGGAGGUGCCUUCAUUCCUGUGGUAAUUCUUCAGUGAAACUGGAACAUCUGCUGCUUCUGCCUCUGUUGGUCAUCCUGUUGGGCUGUGGAUCUCAAUAGAUGUUUACUUGGCAUUAAGAGAGGCAGAACUGCCCUCCAUGAUAAAUGCGAUUUAAAAAAAGGACAAACGUGCAUGUACACAUGAAGCACUAUGGAUAUGAUUUUAAAAUACUUUCUCCUAGAAACAGCUUGAUGCAUCCAUUACAUUUUCUGUUUAAGCUGUCCACUGAGAUGACUUCAUCAUGCCAGAUGGAAUGGACAGUUAUUCAUGUAGGUGUUUUUUGUGAGGUCUAGAGCAGUUCAAGAUGUCGUGGGCUGCUGACAGAUCUACAGGCUCAGAAUCACAGCCAAUUUGUUUAUACAGUGGUCAGUGCACCUUUUUGAACAUCUGUCAUCCAACAACAGCUUGGAGAAACGGGGCAAUAUGAUCAAAGUCAGACCACUUGCAGUCAUCAAAGAAGACCAUUGUGCAGUUAUGUGCGUUAACAAAGCUUUGUCUUACAUAAGAAUGGAGGGACACACUGAGUUCACUCAGGAAUGAUUACUGCAAGGGAGAGUGACUUGACUCAUUGUAGACUUUUCUCACGGUUCAGAUUAUUCUUCACCUUUGGAGAGAGAAAGCAGGAAUUCUGGGAAGAAGUUGGGACCACAAACUUGGGUAUAUCCACAAAUUUGAAUAUAUAUGCAUAUAUACAUUUCUUACAUUUAUAUGUCUCUAAAAAUUGGCUUUGAAGACAGAAAUAAGAGAGCAAAGUCAUCAGGAGAGAAAAGAGUGACUGAAGCCUGAAUUCUGCCCCAUCUUUCACCCUUUUACACUGACUACUGAGAAAACUGAAGAAAUCUAUCACAGGCAUUGUCAAAUCAUGCUUUAAACAAGGAAUGCUCUCGGUCAUAUCCAGAGGUCUAACCCAACCUUCUUGUUUUGUUUUGUUUUCAUAUGAUUAUAAUGGUUACUACUUCUUUGAAUAUGCUAGCUACAUGGGAAGUUACAUACCUGAGAUGAAGUAUUCAGUUUCAUGUGAGUUUCUACUGGACCUCACCUGCUACAUCCACACCAAACACAGUAUUUCUGACAGCCUUUAGAAGAGAGGUUGAGACUUUGUAUUUAGUAGAUCCUUUUUAAUUCUGAGCUGACCCUAAAUUUCAUGCUCACCUUCAGACUACAGGAAGAAAGACUCCUGCUAGGUAUGAGCUCCAAGAGCUAACACUGAAGUUGGCUCUGAGUUUAAAGUUGACCCUCACUUGUGAAGCAAUUUAUAUCAGAAAAUCUCUGUGAUUUCCCUUUAAACCUAACUAUUCUGCAAUUCCAGAAUAUGAUUAGAAGUUCAGUUUUAAGUUGCUCAGGCUGAUGGAACUCAAGUGCACCUGGGCUAUAAAAGGUCAAGAAAGGUAAGAAAGGCAAGCGUGCUGGCUUAAACUUGUCAUGCAGGGAUGCACACCUCCAAAAAGUAUUUCAGGGACUGUGUUCUGGAACCAAUAAUUGAGUGGGGGCAUAUUUUAGAAAGAAUAAAAUUAGUUAUAUACUUUUCUGGUAGUUUCCAGACUAGCAAAGUGAAGGUUUGUGAGAACUGUAAUAAUUAGUAGACCCAGGCUUUUAAUGGAUAAACACUUUUUCCUUACACGUUUCUGCUAAUCCUUUUUGGUUACUUGACAUUUUGUAAUCUUGUCAGUUCUCUGUUUUCUAACCACAAAUUAGGCAAAUUCAUGUCAAUUAAAGCUUGUUUUGCAUUUUUUUGUUGUUGUUGUUAGAAGUUAACCAUUAUUUUUAAUGUGUCCAAAGUGCUAAUUAUACAUGGAAUGUUCAGAUCCAUUGUUUACCAACUACUGCAAUCUGUCCUCUAGCAAGGAAAGUUUCUGCAGGAGCUGCCAAAUAGACAUAUUUUAGCUAGGAAACAUGGUAUAUGGUCUUCAUCCUUGCAGAUUAAAUUUUGCCGUGAUUUGUGGACUACUGAUCACUCUGGUCAGUGGAUAUGAGUUGCCUCUGGAUGGGAGCUUGGUCUCAUGAUACUAUUAAAUAAGAAAAAGAAAAGCUGUACCACAAAACUCAGGGUUGUUUUUAGGCUCACAACAGCAAAGAUUAACUAACAACAUAGGAGCCAAUAGAAACUGAUACAAUAAGGCUGGUGCUGAGUUUUUUUUUUUUUUUUUUUUUUUUUUUUCCAUUGCCAUUACUAUACGAAUUUAAAGAAAAUGAUAAUAAACACCACAAAAGGAACCUACAACAAACCAGCAGGGAAGAAUAGUAAAAUGUUCCUCAUAGAUCUGUCUGAGGAGCAAGACUGGAUUGGUACUGUUACAACUUAAAAUUUUACUGAAGAUUUUAUAGCUAUAAUUUUUAUGUAGAGGAGGAGAAGUAGUAAGUAAAUUGGACAUGUUACAUGAAGAACAACAUUGACCUCUGAUCAUAAGUUUAGGAAGGGUCAUUUUAAAGGUGAUCUACUGCCAGUGGAGAGAACUUAUUGCUCAUAAGCUCUUCUUCACCCGUGAUAAAAAUUUGUUUAGCAACAGUAUCUGUUUUCCUUUUUAAAUUGCUCGGAACAGUAGUGAACUCCGGACUAUCUAGAAGAGUCCUAUGACUGAAGCAGACUCCUCUGUCUAGUAACUUGCUGAGGUCCUGCAGGGAGACAGACAUCAAAGAAGUAUCUGUUAUAAUGAGAGAAUCAGGUUAAUCUGAUUCAAACACCUGUUCUGCAUGAUGAAAACCUUCCUAUACAAUAUAGUUGCAUUUCCCUAGCUAUUUUUCUAGGCACCUUAUUUUUCACCAACUCUCAGUGCUGAUUCUCAUCAUUUUUCUUUCUGUUUCCUUGAUCUCUCCUGUCCUCAUUCAUUAUCACUGGAAAUGUGACACCCACCUUCAGAAAGGGCCAGAAAGAUGAUCCUGAUAGCUACAGACAUAUCAGUCUCACCUCGGUGUAGGGGAAGGUUAUGGAAUGGGAGCCAUCAUGGAUCAGCUAAACAUCAACCAGGGAACCAGGUCCAAUCAGCAUGGGUUUAUGAAUGGUAGAUACUGCUUAUGUUUUUGACAAACCUGAUUUUGUUCUAUGACAUAGUGACCCAUUUAGUGGUUGAAGGUAAGGCUGUCAGUGUGGUCUACCUGGACUUCAGUGAAGUCUUUGACACUGUCCCCCACAGCAUCCUCAUGGAGAAGCCAACUGCCCAUGGUUAGGAUGGGUGUACACUCCGCUGGUCGAAACACUGUCUGGAUGGCCGGGCCCAAAGAGCUGUGGUCAGUGGAGUUAAAUCCAGCUGGCAGCCAGUCACAAGUAGUAUCCCCCAUGGCUCAGUACUCGGGCUGCUUCUAUUUAACAUCUUUAUUAAUGAUCUUGAUGAGAGGAUUGAGUGUACCCUCCGUAAGUUUGCAGAUGACACCAAGUUGGGAGGGAGUG